UUGUAGGCACUCAACUUUUAAUACCAGUUACAUUGGCUCAAGCUAAGCUUACAUGACAGUCUGUAAAGUCCACAUAAAAAGCAACACAUUAUAAAGGGCGAGAAUUCCCUAGUACAUUGUUAUUUUAAGUAUGAAGGGUUACAACUGAUUACUGCUUUAGUCUUCCAUGUGUGCUUUAGCCAAUGUGUUUUUUUGGGCACCAAGUCAAGCAGAGGGUUAUUAAUGGACGGAAGGACCAGAGUGGAUGAAGUAGUAAAUGUCAGACUGAUGGAGAGUCGGGGCCUUAAAGCUGAAAGCUGGAGUGAGAGAUAAUUGGGUGGGAAUCUAUUAUACACAUGUUAAUCAUCAUUCAUUUGCAGAGAAACCACUAGAAGAUGUAUGACUGUAAUGUAACAAUCAUUAGGGUUUGUGUGUUGUUCACUAAUGUAGGUGUGCAAGCAGGUGUACAGCUAUCAAUGAUCUCGUCGAGGUUGGCGUCCUAUUGCGUGAAGGUCAAAUGAGCAAGGACCCAGGUUUGAUCAUUAAACAGUAACAUAAGUCAGUGUCACAAGCUGAAAUAAGUGACACGGUUAGCUUAAGAGUUGACUUUCAGUAACAUAUUCCCAAUGCACAAAGUUACCUCUAAUGGAAUGAGCUCUGGAAAAAAGCAUAAUAAGCCUAACUGUCAUGGCAACCAUAAAUCACUCACAUGCAUCCCCUUAAUUCAGUCAUUUGGGACACCAAAGGACUUAAUGAUGGAUUGGCCACAGUUAUCAGUGGAAGUAUUUAUGCACCAGGGUGUUUUUCAGCAAUGAUCUGGUCAUUACUGAAAGAUAAAAGGCAGCAAAAUGUAUUUCACAUAACAAAAUACAUUUAAUUUCUUCAUUUGAUAAACAUUAUCACAUAGCAACUAACGCAGGAGAAAAAUAAAAAAAAACAUAUUUAAUUAAAUUUCUCCCCAAAGAUGGCAAGGACUCCAACUGAGUAAUAAAUUGGGUGAAAUAUUUGCCUGGCAGAACUUUCCACCCAUGUAGGGACUCUAUGACACCAACACACUGACAAGACAAUCUCAAUAAAUAACACCAUCCCUAUUGAAAAGCAAUCCCUUUUCCUCUCACCUAUUUUGGGCAGAGGCAUAAUCUUUCUGCAGUAAUAUGUUAAAAACACUUUGUUCUCAGCUGAAAGAUUUAGCUUCUCAUAAAAAAAUUAUAAAAAAUCAUCUGGUCAGUGUUGUGCAGUGUGUUACUUUUCUUAUGUUAACUAUCCAUGUAUUAUAACAAUGCAUUUUAAUGUCAUGCAGUGUUUAUCUAAAUGUGUAGAUAGAUGAACUUGAUAUUCCAAUAAACAGAAUUUAGAAAUGCAGAAAAACAACACUUUGUAGUGAAUUCAUGGUAAUUACCAGUCUCCAAACGUCCACAAUUCGCUAAGGGUAGGGCACACCCUCUGCUUGCACAACCCUCUAACUUCUCUUGUUUAACUAACAGCAAUUAAGUCUAAAACAUAAAUAGUUGACUAACAAAUGCUUUAUAUUCUGAUUGCAUUUAUUUAAAACAUUAAUCAGGCAAACAUUGAACAGUGCCUCUAACCCAUACCAAAAGGUUAAGCUAGGAAAUCUUGUUAAUUGUGCCACUGAGGCUGCUUUAAACAAGCAGCCCAAUUCCAAUAUUUUUUCCCCACUAAUUGGUCUUUUGACCAAUCACAUCAGCUCUGAAAAACAUCUGACAUAAUUGGUCAAAAGUUAUUGGAAAAAAUAUCAGAAUUGGGCUGCCUGUGUAAUUGCAGCCCAAGAGAGACAGUUUUUUAAGUGAUUUGGAUGAUUUCACAAACAGUAUGCAUUGUAGGAUAAUAGAGGAAUUACUGUUCUACUCACUACUCUCUAUUGUGGGAUAAUAGAGGACUUCCUGUUCUACUCACCACUCAGUAAUACAGUUUCACUGCCCCAGAGAUGCUUCGAUGUUCAUGUAAAACCAUUCUCUUUCACCUCUGAGGGCUGCAGAGGACUGGUAACACAGGGAUGGGGAUACAUAAUCAAAACCCAACAAAACAACCACAAAACACAAAGGGAGGGUAGGGAGGGUAACAAAAGUCUAUGGCGGCUCAAAUGCAGUCCACAUAACUUCCAGCAUAGGAGGCGGCUCCGGUUCUGGGCGUACUCCCCGCUCCACCCGCUGAUCCUUCUGUUUUAUUACCACCUGACCGUGGAUCGUCGAAGGAACCAGACUGUAGAUCAUUGCUGGAGGCACCGAGCCGCCGCUGGAGGCUCCGGGCUGCGGGCCGCCGCUGGAGGCUCCGGACUGCCGCUGGAGGCUCCGGGCUGCGGGCCGCCGCUGGAGGUACCGGGAUGCGGGCCGCCGCUGGAGGCUCCGGGAUGCGGACCGCCGCUGAAGACUCCGGGAUGUGGACCGCCGCUGAAGACUCCGGACUGCGGAGCAUCGCUGGAGGCUCCGUACUGGGGAGCGUCGCCGGAGGCUCCGUACUUGUGAGCAUCGCCGGAGGCUCCGGACUGGGAGGCGUCAUAAUAGGUUCCGGACUAGUGACCGUUGCUGCUGGCUGCAUGCCAUGGAUCAUCUCUACAGAUUCUGCGCCAAGGAUCAUCACUGGAGGCUUCUUACCAUGGAUUAUCUCUACAGGUGCCGGGCCAUAGAUUAUUCCUACAGGCUUCAUGCCAUGGUUUAUCCCUACAGGCUCUGGACCAUUUCUAAUCCCUCCAGGCUUUUUGCCAAGGAUUACUUCUUCAGGUUCCGGGCCAUGGAAUAUACAUACAGGCUCCGGGCCAUGGAUCAUCACUAGAGGCUUAGUGCCAUGGAUCAUCUCUACAGGCGUCGGACUAUCGAUUAUCACUGGAGGCUUUGUACGAGGAGCAGGAACCGGUCUCAUCGGACUGGGGAGAUGCACUGAGGACCGAGUGCUCAAAGCAGGCACCGGCCGUACUGGGUUAUGGAUGCGCACUGGAGGGAGAGUGCAAAGAACAGGCACAGGACGUACUGGAUUUUGGAGGCGUGCUGGAGGGAGAGCGCGAGGAGCAGGCACAGGACGUACUGUGCUAUGGAGGCGCACUGGAGAGAGAGUGUGAGAGGCAGGCACAUGCUCACCACAAAAAGCACAGGGAAUUGGCUCAGGUCCCAGUCCUGGCCCAGCCAAACUACCCGUGUGCCCCCUCCAAAAAAAUGUUUUGGGGCUGCCUCUCGUUCUUCCCAGGUAGGUUCCGAUAUCUCUCGAUUACCUGGCCCCAAGUCCAGUCUCUCCUCUCAAUCC
rnacentral:lncRNA from 1 species